GCCUGGGUGGCACAGUGGUUGGAAAGUUAGAUUAGGACUCUGGAGACCAGGGUUUGAUUCCCAGCUCAGCCA